CUCGUAGCGGAGCACUCAGGGUCAGCGGAGGACCGAGUUUAUUUUACCAUGAUGCUUCAGCGGGCCCACCAUAACUGGCCGCCGGGGGGCUUACGCCCCCGGGCCCGCGCCCGCCGAAGACACCCUCGAACUCUGUCUGAAGAUUGAAGUCUGAGUGAAAAUAUAAAUUAUUUAAAACUUUCAACAACGGAUCUCUUGGUUCCGGCAUCGAUGAAGAACGCAGCGAAAUGCGAUACGUAAUGUGAAUUGCAAAUUCAGUGAAUCAUCGAGUCUUUGAACGCACAUUGCGCCCCCUGGUAUUCCGGGGGGCAUGCCUGUCCGAGCGUCAUUGCUGCCCUCAAGCCCGGCUUGUGUGUUGGGCCCCGUCCCCCGAUCUCCGGGGGACGGGCCCGAAAGGCAGCGGCGGCACCGCGUCCGGUCCUCGAGCGUAUGGGGCUUUGUCACCCGCUCUGUAGGCCCGGCCGGCGCUUGCCGAUCAACCCAAAUUUUUAUCCGGGUUGACCUCGGAUCAGGUAGGGAUACCCGCUGAACUUAAGCAUAUCAUUAAGCGGAGGAAA
rnacentral:rRNA from 1 species